GGAAGUUUAAGAACCAUAGCAUAAUGCUCAGAAACACCUUGCCCCAAGGAAAAAGUGGGCCGUCUAUUUGAGCAAAGUGUUCCUGUCUUCAGCCUCUGUCCAGGUCAGAGCUCUCCUGAUUCUCUUUAACUGCCCAGAAUCUCUCUGAACUUCCCAACUUCGACUAGCUACACUGAUGUCUAUGCCCACCUCAAUCCAUCAGCAGACUACUCUAUGUACCCAGCUGUGGCUCCAAAGGCAGAGAUGCACUGAGGCUUCUUUCUUGCUGCCAGCAGGUGCAGCAUGUGGUCAAGACUACCUGGCUGCUUUUCAAGCGUGUAGAGAGGGAUGAAGCACUUGGAGCAUCUGGACCUGGUUCAGCAGUGUCAGGCUGUGUGUCUUUGGUCCAGGCAAGCAUCUUCUCUGAGUGCCAGUGACGUUCUCAGCAAAGGUGAGAAUAUUAGACUAAGGCAAUUGUUUUCAACCAGGAGCAAUUUUUGCCCCCAGGGAAACAUUUAGCAGUGCCUGAAGAUACAUUUGUCUGUCAUGAAUGGUAAGAGGUAGGUGCUAAGGGCAUUUAGUGGUAGAGGUCAGAGAUGCUGUUAAACGUCCUACAAUGCACAAGACAGUCCCCCACAAUAAAGAUGUAUCCAGCCAAAAGUGUCAAUAGUGCCAAUGUUGAAAAGCCAAGGCUUUUCACCAUGGCUUUUCC
rnacentral:lncRNA from 1 species